UACGAAGGGUGCUAGCGUUGCUCGGAAUUACUGGGCGUAAAGGGCGCGUAGGCGGACAGUUUAGUCAGAGGUGAAAGCCCAGGGCUCAACCCUGGAAUUGCCUUUGAUACUGGCUGUCUUGAGUACGGGAGAGGUGUGUGGAACUCCGAGUGUAGAGGUGAAAUUCGUAGAUAUUCGGAAGAACACCAGUGGCGAAGGCGACACACUGGCCCGUUACUGACGCUGAGGCGCGAAAGCGUGGGGAGCAAACAGG
rnacentral:rRNA from 1 species